GACGUAGGGCGCGAGCGUUGUCCGGAUUUAUUGGGCGUAAAGAGCUCGUAGGCGGCUUGUUGCGUCAGCUGUGAAAACCCGCAGCUCAACUGUGGGCUUGCAGCUGAUACGGGCAGGCUUGAGUUCGGUAGGGGAGAUCGGAAUUCCUGGUGUAGCGGUGAAAUGCGCAGAUAUCAGGAGGAACACCGGUGGCGAAGGCGGAUCUCUGGGCCUUACCUGACGCUGAGGCGCGAAAGCUAGGGGAGCAAACAGG
rnacentral:rRNA from 1 species